CCUACGGGAGGCAGCAGUGAGGAAUAUUGGUCAAUGGACGAGAGUCUGAACCAGCCAAGUCGCGUGAAGGAAGACGGUUCUAUGAAUUGUAAACUUCUUUUGUGCAGGAAUAAAGUGGGUUACGUGUAACCUUUUGUAUGUACUGUACGAAUAAGGAUCGGCUAACUCCGUGCCAGCAGCCGCGGUAAUACGGAGGAUCCGAGCGUUAUCCGGAUUUAUUGGGUUUAAAGGGUGCGUAGGUGGAUUGAUAAGUCAGCGGUGAAAGUUUGCAGCUUAACUGUAAAAUUGCCGUUGAAACUGUCGGUCUUGAGUGCAAAUGAGGUAGGCGGAAUGUGUUGUGUAGCGGUGAAAUGCUUAGAUAUAACACAGAACUCCGAUUGCGAAGGCAGCUUACUGGGAUGCAACUGACACUGAUGCACGAAAGCGUGGGUAUCAAACAGGAUUAGAUACCCUGGUAGUCCACGCAGUAAACGAUGAAUACUAGCUGUAUGCGAUAUACCGUAUGUGGCACAGCGAAAGCGUUAAGUAUUCCACCUGGGGAGUACGUUCGCAAGAAUGAAACUCAAAUGAAUUGACGG
rnacentral:rRNA from 1 species